GCUGCCCGCGCGUGCUCAGAGCGCGCGGGGGGAGCAACGGUUGAAUAACGGUUGAGUAACGGUUGACUAACGGUCGCGCUCUGCCGCGGCGCGCGCGCGGGGCGAGGGGGUGGCCGCGGCCGCCAUGGCGUACUCGACCUUCAGGAAGGUGGCGAUGGUGUCCUGCCUGGUGCUGUGCGUCUCCCUGCUGCUGCCGCGGACCUUCUUGUCUCGGGGUGGCGGGAGGCAGGAGCCCGGCGCUGCGCCGCUCGCAGCGCCCGCGCCGCCCGAGGGGAAGCUUGGUCGGUUUCCACCAAUGAUGCAUUAUCAAGUGACGCCUGACAGCCGAGCUGCCCCUCAUUUUCCAAGGUCCCACCUUGCCGAAGCAGUUGCCAAAGCCAAGGCAGGUGGAGGUGGAAGCAGUGGUGGAACUGGGAGAGGUCUUGUGGGGCAGAUUAUCCCUAUUUAUGGAUUUGGCAUCUUCUUAUAUAUCCUAUACAUUUUAUUUAAGCUGUCUUCUAAGGGAAAAACUGCAGCUGGGGAGCGCAAAUGUCCUCCUGCUGUACCUGGAAACAUGAAGAGGAAAAUCACUGACUAUGAGCUUACUCAACUCCAAGAAAAACUGAGAGAGACUGAAGAAGCUAUGGAAAAAUUAAUCAACAGAGUAGGGCCUAAUUCUGACAGCAGAACACAAAAUGUUACAACAGACCAGGAGAAAAGGUUACUUCAGCAGCUCCGAGAGAUUACUAGGGUUAUGAAAGAAGGAAAAUUCAUAGAUGGCAUCUCUCCUGAGAAGGAAGCUGAAGAAGCUCCCUACAUGGAGGACUGGGAAGGUUACCCAGAAGAGACCUAUCCUGUCUAUGAUAAUUGCUUCAAACGUAAACAGGAUACAAUCCUUGUAGAUUAUCCUGACCCAAACCAGCCCUCUGCAGAAGAGCUGGCAGAAAGAAUGGAGGGCAUGGAAGAUGAGGAUUAUCUGUGCAAAGAAACCCUGCUGUCUAAUCUCACCAUGGAGAGUGACAGCCAUGAUGUAAUGCAGAAGACGAAUGAGGUAACUGCCAUCAGUGACCAGGGCAGGGACCUUCAUGGCAGUCCCGACUUUGAGAAGUGCUGUUACUGUUGCGAGGAGGACAACGAUCCUGCUGUCAUAGCUGAGAAUGCUGGAUUCCACUCUGAGAGCUGCAGUGAAGCAGAAGAGCCAGCCAGAGAGGACCCGUACGUGGAUUCUGACAGUGAAAGUUCGGCACCGAAGGAGCAGAAAGCCCGUGAUUCAGAUGAAACAGGCACACUGAGGAAGCGCAACACAAAAGGACUUGAAUAAUAGGGACAACAUAUGAACAUGCGGUAAUGACAUGCUCAUAAACUGUCAUUUCAUGUGGGUAUUUGUUCUGAUGUUCCUGUUUGCUUUCAUCUCCUCGUACUAAUUUAAUUUCAUUCCCACAGUAAUGAUCGCAUCAUCUCCUAUCUGAAGUGGAAGCCAGUACCCUCUAUCACGCAGUCUUGUCAUGGUUCAUACUGACUUGCCAGUAGCAACUUUGUCUUGCUUUUCAGAGGCUGGUAUGUUGGAGCAGAUUACGCUGCGCAGCUAUUCGUGAUUCUUUCCUUCCUAAUUUCUGAACAAUCAGUUCUUAUUUUUGCCAUUGUCAUCCAAGAGUUAACUAAAUGUCUCUUCUGACAACUGUCUAUCUGCGUCUUCCCUUAUGAAAAUGAAUCAAUAUGUAUUUAUGAGACUAUCAGGAAGAUGGAAGAGGAAAUAUACUUGCUUUCUCUUACCUGGAUGUUAACUGAUUGGCAGAACAGACCACAGUCACACGAGUGACUCUCCUACUCAAUCAUGUUAUUGCUUCUGUAAACCCAAGAAACUGUUGUCACUGCAACCCACAUGCUACUGCAGCCCACAGGACACUUCCCAGCACAUUGUGUGCUACAGGACUAGAGCUCUAAUCUAUUUUGUGCCCCAGGAAGAGCAUGAGAGAGAAUGAAGCAUUACCAGUUGUGCUUUGUCUUUGCCGUAGCCAUUAGACUGCUUGGUGAAACGCUGCGGUAAGUGCAGGAAUCAGACCAUAGCUUGUGUUGCGGAAGAAUACUGAAAAUACCCCUGGGGAGCUACCCUGGGACUUGGAGAGUACUGGAAGUGUAUUGAACAGCUUGUUUAAAUAUGAUGUUUAACAAAAUACAUGUGUAGCCACAGUGUAGCAGCUUUAUUCUGAGAUCACUGGGGCAUAGCUUGGGUGUGUUUGAAAAGACAGAGCGUCUUGGCCUACGCACUCACAUCAGGCUUGUUAAGAUCAAUGGAUGUCUGCCUUUGUGUUAUUUAUAGAGAAUUCCUACUACAAAAACUAGGUCAUACUAAAGGAUUAGGGAAAAUAGCAGAGAAAACAUACUGAAUACUUACUCUGUUCUAUUAGGAGCAUAUUUAUUUUUAAAUCAUUUGAUAAACCACCUUUUGCUUUUAUUUCUGUUUCAAAAUAUCCUGGACUCUUUCAACAUUCUCUUUCACUUUUCACCGUGGCAGCAGUUUGACCUCUUUCUGAACAGAGAGCUCAUGUUUUCUUCGCUGGGAAUCUCUACAGCUGUAAAUACCAGACUAUAGUUCCUCUGCCUUAGUCAGUGUCCUUGAACUGGAGCACUAACAUCACCUGACAUCAGUCACUGAAAUGAAAGUGGUUUCAUGCUCCUUUGCCUGCUAAUACUGUCAUAUACCAGCAAAUGAAGACUUUUAUCACAAGCUUGUCUAGCCACAUCCUUGCAGUGGCAAACACUGUCCUUAUUCAGAAAACUACAUUAUAUUUUAUAUUACUACCAAACAGAGCUGUUAAAGGACUGCCUUCAUUCCACUGCAAAUAGCAUUGUUUUCUCCCCCUCUGAACAACAGGCUCACUGUUUAAACACUCCUAAAAGCUGUAUGCGAGGAAAGACUGCGUGAGGAGAAAGGUGGGACAAGGUGCGUUCCUGGUUCUUUUGCAGUAGCAGAAGAUCAAUACUGUUGCAUGGCCUGCCAUGCAUACAGCCUUUAUUUGGUAUUGCCAUAUGUUUUAUGAUAUGCAUACGCCAAAACUUCUGCGGAUGCGGCAGUAGUCCAACCCCUUGCCAUGAGAAACAAAGAUGCCAUCUCAGUUCUACUGCAGCUUGGGGAAAAAAGGACUUACAGAAUUUGUCAUGUCUGCAGAUAUGUGAUUAUGUACUUCAAAUUCCCAGUGCUUAUAAAGGUAUGUGAAAUUAAAGUAGUUCACUGUUUUUAUUUGAAUUUGUGUUUGAGGUUUGCAGUAUGUUUUAAAACACAUAAGGUAUGUUAUGCAUAAGGUAAUGGUAAGGUAGCAUUUCUAAAUAGAUAUUUUCAUAUAUUGAUAAGUUAAAAUGUAGUAAAUUGCUUUGAGUAACAAAGUUCAUACUCCAAAGUGCACUAAUCAUAAAACUACUGCACUGUGCAUCCAAAUUUUCAUGCUGCUAAGGACUGCUCAAUUAAGGAUGAUAUCCAGCAAGUCACUGUUUGUGUGUAUUGUACUACGCUUCAUAUAGAAACAUGGGGUACAAGUAAACAUUUCUGUUGGCCUUUUUGGUGGCCACUGUUUCUGUACUGGCUAAGCUAGUAGGUGUACCAGGCCUUGACACAGCACUGAAUAUGAAGACACAAGAAAUUUCUCAUACCUAUUUAACUUCUGAGUGCUGCAUCAGUUAUGAACCAAACCCAACAGCUAGGAGCAUAACAUGAAAAACUACUUGAACACAAAAAAGGGAGCUACAUCCCUGAUACAAUAAACUAAUCAGCAGUUUAUUUUGACAUGAAGUUCUCUGAAAGGAAGAACCGAUGACUGUGAACUCCGUUCCACAGAAGGACUUUGGAAUAACAAAGCACAGUAUUUUAGGUGCCCGUUGACCUAGCAGAAAUCAUAGUUUCCAUGCUGGGCAAAGCCAACAGUGGCCACAGUGCGGUAGCGUGAGGCAUUUUUAAAUCUUCACGCUGUGAUUCGGAGCAAGGGCCUAACCUCACUUUUCCCCCUAGGGUGGGCUAACUAGCAGGCUAUAUAGGCUGUUCUCCAUCAGUAUGUCCUCUGGAGCUGUUCCACUUUGCAUUUGUAGUUAACUACGCCUUUUAUCUGUGAGAGAAAUACCAAGAAAUAGAUUCAUGUGUGGCAUGCUAUGGUUCCAAAUUAAUAACAAAGGUUUAAUUCCUAAGUACAGCCUGUUUUUUGACCUUGUUUUCUUCCAAUCUCCCAGUCCUUACUGAAAGAUCUUUUUUCACAGAGGAGUGGAAAUCCAGAAUUUCUCUUCACGCCACUUAGCAUAGGUAAAUAUAGAAUUCACCUCUCUCCUGGGAAUUGGUUUGACCGACUAACAUGAUCACCACAGAGGCAGCCCAUAGCUGCAGAUGACACAGUCACCAAGCACACACUGCACUGGAGUGCAAGAAGGGAAGUAUCUCCAUCAUCAGUACCAAUAUAAAAGGCCCAGUGAGCCCAUACUAAAACAGAAACAAUCAUUAGUACUUCUUUUAAUACCUGCAACACAACUAAAGGCUUGAUUUUCUUUUUUUUUCUUUACAGCAGCAGGAAGAGACAAAUGAUGCUAAUGCAGGUUGACUGGUGCCAAAGACUAAAACAGCUCUAAACAGCUCAGUCACUUGGGCAUCCCCAUCCAAGGAUGCCUUAGAUACAUUCCAGAGACCCCUCUUGCCCUCUGUUGAAAACCACUGAUGUGAUCAGCCACCCAUCAAAAUGCAGGACUACCCACACCUCUUGUUCCUGACAGAGACUUACCUGAAGAAAUGGGGAGUCUCCUGUCAUUGAAAGGUUCCGAGAUGAGAUGGUCCAUGCCAAGGUUCACUAGCCUCGCAAUUAGGAAAUUCCAUGAUGUCUAACCUGAUUCCUCCUUGCUGCAGGUUGAAUUAUUUCUGUCACAGAUUUGGAGGACAGAUGAUUCCCUUCUGCUUUCCAGUAGCUUUUUACAUAUUUGAAGGGGUUUUUUUUUUGUAUUUAUGCAGUUGAUUAUUCCUGCCUAAGUAUAUUCUUUACUCUUGUCCUACUGAACUAUUACCCUCUUAGGUUUUUUUCAGCCCAUUGUGCAGUCUUGUUUUGAUAUAAGUGAGUAGGCCAAAAAUUCAGUCCUUAACAGUAGCUAGAAUUGGAAAGAGCAUUUGCAGAAAUUGCAGCACUGAGGUAGCAAGCACUGCAACUGAUAGUCCAACAAUAGAGAUCUAAGAUAGCAAAUACCUGGGCCUCUACUUGCCCUAUGUUUUUUAGGAAUCUCAUUGUCCUCUUCAUGAAAACAAGCAAGAGGAAUAUUUCUACACUAUGCAUUAAUGUCAAAUCUUAGAGCUCAAGAAAAAAUGAACUGAAAAUGUUUAGAGAUCUGGUAAAGUCAGGGUGCUUUGGUCUGGACUGAUACUACCAGUUAUGUUUUAGUUUUGGAAUUCAUAUCAGCAUUGAAUAGUUUAAACAGUAUUGGAAAUGCCUUAUGAUAACAACCCUCAAAUUCCAUAUAGAUAAUUUAUUAACAUAUUUUCAACCUUGGGUGGGGAAAGACAUUUCAAACAGAUUAAGUUUAAUAUGUUUGCACAGAUGUUUUCUAUUGACAAACACUGGAACCUCUAUGCCAUACACAAUGUAAAUUAUGUGAAAAUACAAAAUUAAUGGUCGCACAUACUGAUAAAUAAAUACAUUUGCUCCAGAAUACUAAAGAGUUUCUUUAAAAAAUUUACUUCAUAAAAGCACAUUCUUGCAGGUUUAUCUAAAACUCCAUAUAGUUCUGAACAAAAAUGAGAUGCGUGACUACUCAAAACAGGACAAGACAGUCUU